CUGGUGACAGCAUCUGUCUCUUCUUGUCAGCUUAACCAUCAGGCAUGUGUUGAAGUGUUAGUAGAUCAGUCGUGUCUGAUUCUUUGUGGCCUCAUUCACUGGGGCUCGCCAGGCUCUUCUGUCCGUGGGAUUCUCCAGGCAAGAAUACUGGAGUGGGUUGCCAUUUCCUUCUCCAGGAGUGGGUUGCCAUUUCCUUCUCCAGGAGCCAUCAUGCAUCAUGACCCCCAAAAUACAAAAAGCCAAAGAGAAUUACUACUACAAGGCCAUUCAAAGAGCUUUUCUGUAUCUUGUCCACUGGGAUAGACCAAGAAAAUCUAAAAAAAUGUUUUAUUAAAGAAAGACAAGAGAGCAGCCAAGAUGACAGGCAAGGAUCCUAAGUUUCCCUCCUCCCACGAGCACACCAAAAUCACAGCAAUCUGUAGAGGACCCAUGGUUUAAAAAAACAACAACAACAACACUGAAACCUACCAGAAAAGAUCUUCCACAACUAAAGACAUAAAGAAAGAACCACAAGACCAGUAGGAGGGGUGGACUGUUGAUAUGAUUAAAUCCCAAAUGCCUGAGGUGGGUGAACUACAAACUGGAGAAUAAUUAUAUUACAGAAAUUCUACUGCAUGAGUCUGUUUCAUGUCAGGCCCUCUCAGCCUGGAGGUUCAGGACCAGGAAGAGGAGCUCCCAGAGCAUUUGGCUUUGAAGGCCAGUGGGGCUUGGUUGUAGAAGCUCCCUAGAAUUGGGAGAAAUAGAGACGUAACUCUUAAAGGACACACUCAGACUCUCACAUGCACCAGGACCAAGGGCAAAAGCAGUAAUUUCCUAGCAGCUUGGGCCAGGCAAAGCUGCUUAUCAUGGCUUCAUAGGUAAAGCAUUUAAAGAAGAGUUAACACCCAUCUUUUGGAAAAUAUCAAAAAAUAUAGAGGAAGGAACACUUCCAAACUCAUUGUAUGCGGUCACUCUAUCACCCUGAUAUGAGAACCAGCCAAAGAUAUCACACGACAAAGAAAAUUACAGGCCAAUAUCACUGAUGAACAUAGAUGGAAAAAUCUUCAAUAAAAUACUAGCAAAUUGAAUGCA
rnacentral:lncRNA from 1 species